GGGAGAGGUUACGGAGCUGGUGCCCGUCCCGGCCUUCAAAGCCGCUGUCACUGUGCGUGAGUACAGUGAGGUGAGUUCGAUUCUCAUGCUCUCCCGCCA
rnacentral:tRNA from 1 species